GAGUUGAUCAUGGCUCAGAUUGAACGCUGGCGGCAUGCCUUACACAUGCAAGUCGAACGGCAGCAUGAUCUAGCUUGCUAGAUUGAUGGCGAGUGGCGAACGGGUGAGUAAUACAUCGGAACGUGCCCUGUAGUGGGGGAUAACUAGUCGAAAGAUUAGCUAAUACCGCAUACGACCUGAGGGUGAAAGUGGGGGACCGCAAGGCCUCAUGCUAUAGGAGCGGCCGAUGUCUGAUUAGCUAGUUGGUGGGGUAAAGGCCCACCAAGGCGACGAUCAGCAGCUGGUCUGAGAGGACGAUCAGCCACACUGGGACUGAGACACGGCCCAGACUCCUACGGGAGGCAGCAGUGGGGAAUUUUGGACAAUGGGCGAAAGCCUGAUCCAGCAAUGCCGCGUGUGUGAAGAAGGCCUCGG
rnacentral:rRNA from 1 species